rnacentral:rRNA from 1 species
GACGAACGCUGGCGGCGUGCUUAACACAUGCAAGUCGAACGGAAAGGCCCUGCUUUUGUGGGGUGCUCGAGUGGCGAACGGGUGAGUAACACGUGAGUAACCUGCCCUUGACUUUGGGAUAACUUCAGGAAACUGGGGCUAAUACCGGAUAGGAGCUCCUGCCGCAUGGUGGGGGUUGGAAAGUUUCGGCUGUUGGGGAUGGACUCGCGGCUUAUCAGCUUGUUGGUGGGGUAGUGGCUUACCAAGGCUUUGCCCGGUAGCCGGGCUGAGAGGGUGACCGGCCACAUUGGGACUGAAAUACGGCCCAGACUCCUACGGGAGGCAGCAGUGGGGAAUAGUGCACAAUGGGCUGAAGCCUGAUGCAGCAACGCCGCGUGCGGGAUGACGGCCUUCGGGUUGUAAACCGCUUUCGCCUGUGACGAAGCGUGAGUGACGGUAAUGGGUAAAGAAGCACCGGCUAACUACGUG